GCGGCAACAAACAUGGCGCCAAAUACAGCAAUGAUAUCGAUGACUGUUUGAGCUGGAUUACCAGGUGGCUGGCCAGGGGGAACUGAAGAUUCGAUAAUUUCGUUUUCUAAAGAAAUUAAGAAAGGUGGGGUUUGCUCUUCAAUGAAUAAGGCAGACGACAAAAGCAAAAUGUCUGCCAGAGGAAAUCCGCGUCACUUUGUGCAAUAUGGAAAUUGUUUAAUUCAAUUGAGCAAUGUAAUAAUGUGACAACUGACAGGAUGGCGCAUUCUUAGAUGCAUUUCCUCUUUGGUUGCGACAUCACGUGAGAUUGAGUCGGAUUGACAUCUCGUUACGUUUGAACAUAAGGACCCUUUUUCUGGGUUUUUUUCUUCGCGACUCGUGAUAACCUUGUAAACAUCCCCUUGUUGUUAUGGGGCAGUGAUAAUAGUUUUCUAACCUUUGUUCUUAGAGAUAAAACAAUUUCAUUUCCCCAUUCUUUCUAGGCUUAAUUAUUUCCAUGCUGUCCAUGCUGAGUAACGUCAAUCAAAGAUGUGCAAGUUGUUAGCUAUUUUCAAGCCUAGGUGGAAACAGCGAACCAGGGAUUGGGUCAGGAAUUUCCCUGCAUGCUAAGCGACUGGUACUUUGAUGGGGGACUCACCUUCGAAACUCUCCUCUGUGAAUCCUCCAUAAUCCAGGGACUGCCCCCCAGAGCCUCCAAUCGUGCCAUUGUGCUGAUUGUGAGAUGACAGGAUGUAACUGAGCGCGUGAGCGCUAGGAUGAUGCCCGCCGAUAACUCCGCUGCUGGCAUCCACCGAACGUAGGAAUGUCGCUAUCGUCGUCGCUAUGACUCCCCUGUGAUUAGCAACAAACAAGUACUCCCAUCAGCGAGGGUAUACGAGAGAGGGUGGCAUGGUGGCAAGCAAAUAUAACGAGAAGUAAAAAUCCUUGAAAGUGCGUAGGCUACAACGACCGGGCCAAUCAACUACCUUGUCCAGCAGCCAUAGAAAACAGAUUCCCCGGAAUAUCAAAUACCGACGCCUCCACUUCUCACACACAAUUUCUUUUUUUUUGCCGGGAUCUCGGUGUGGGUGUCGGACUCGAGACACGCGAGAAAACUGCGCCCCGUCACGUAACCAGAGCACGAAAAGGACGGGCAAAGGGGAUAAUAUAUAUAUACACGUAUAUAUUCAAUAAAAACACCUGACCACAUGACGGCAGAGUAGAAGAGAAAAAAAGCUUAUCAUCUCUACCUUAGUUAUUGUCGUGUGACUGAAGCUCAAACGUUUGUUAACGCUGUGCGGCUCAUCCUUUUCGAAAUGGCUCUACAGCAAAUGACCAGUCAAAUGCUUGUUCGAGGUCGAUGAUAUUCGACACUGGACGUCAAGAUUUUAUUAAACACACAUUUUCGGCGAAGCUUGUAGGUCGCCGAAAAUGUGUUCUCUUGGUCUGCUGGCAGUGUGCAUGGCUUUGUAAAGGAGGGCAUCAGCCGUUUCUGACCUGAACCUGGAGCAACCAACGCCCCCAGGCUGAAGAUGUGUAGUUUCAAAAA